AGAUGGCUGGCUCAGUUGGCAGAGCAUGAUACACUUAAUGUCAAGGUCAUGGCACUGAGCCCCAUGUUAGCCC